GAUGAACGCUGGCGGCGUGCCUAAUACAUGCAAGUCGAGCGAACGGACGAGAAGCUUGCUUCUCUGAUGUUAGCGGCGGACGGGUGAGUAACACGUGGAUAACCUACCUAUAAGACUGGGAUAACUUCGGGAAACCGGAGCUAAUACCGGAUAAUAUUUUGAACCGCAUGGUUCAAAAGUGAAAGACGGUCUUGCUGUCACUUAUAGGUGGAUCCGCGCUGCAUUAGCUAGUUGGUAGGGUAACGGCUUACCAAGGCAACGAUGCAUAGCCGACCUGAGAGGGUGAUCGGCCACACUGGAACUGAGACACGGUCCAGACUCCUACGGGAGGCAGCAGUAGGGAAUCUUCCGCAAUGGGCGAAAGCCUGACGGAGCAACGCCGCGUGAGUGAUGAAGGUCUUCGGAUCGUAAAACUCUGUUAUUAGGGAAGAACAUAUGUGUAAGUAACUGUGCACAUCUUGACGGUACCUAAUCAGAAAGCCACGGCUAACUACGUG
rnacentral:rRNA from 1 species